rnacentral:ncRNA from 2 species
CUAUCUUUGCCGAUGUUUUGUUCCGCAUCCUUCUGUUCGGAGGGGUUGGAUGAAAAGGGAAUCGGGUGAAAGUCCCGGACAGUCCCGCUGCUGUGAGUUUCAAAAUUGGGUGCAUCCUGUAUCUUUAUGCCACUGUUCAUUAAGAAGAACGGGAAGGCGAUGUACCGGAAACGAGUCAGAAGACCUGCAAAACAAAGUCGAAAAAU